ACCCUUCCUCUUGGUUUGUGCUAGUAGGUCAAAGUAUAGAUAAAAUGUAGAUAUAAUUAGAGAUGAUUAGAGUUAAUGCUGCAUAUUGUCACUAGCAUAUAUAUUUAUGUUCCGAUUUAUGUCGUAAUAUCGGUAAAUAGAUAACUGGGAUAGCAUCGUCCUGAGCUUAAGACUCCUCACCUUUUCUUAUCCCUCACCCGUCUCGUUGCUGUCUUAAUGGUGUCAGGUUACUAUAUAAGUGUUUCUAGUUCAGUUCAGUUGGUGGGGCGAAGUAUGACCUUUUGUAACGGCACUUCUGUCUCUAUAUUUUCACUGUGGGUUCUGCUUUUGUCUUUUGAUUUGAUUUAUCUUCUCCCUCAUUUUUUUUUCUUUCUAUUCAUCCCUCUGUUUACGGGGGUCUUCGUGGUGCAGUGGUUAGCGCACUCGGCUCACAAUCGAGAGAGCCCCGGUUCGAUUCCCGGGCGGAGUGGAAAAAUUUGGGCGGCUUUUCCGAUACCCUACGCCCCUGUCCACCCAGCAGUGAAUGGGUACCAGGUAUUAAUCGGGGGUUGUGUCCCGUCUCCUGGGAUCUGUUCCCUUCUAUAAUUCCUUCCCCCUUCUGUCUCUCUUCGGCAUAUGACCACAGAUGUUGCGCCGACUGAACGAAACUUUCCAACUUUCCCUCUGUUUACCUCUCAGUUCUGUUGACGGUCAGGAGUUUCACCUUCGUAACGGCUCUCCCUAAUGUAGUCCUUCAUUCCUUUUCCUUCUAUUCUUUCCUUCUUUUUAUCUCAUUUCGUCCAAAAUUUCUGUAUCGUUCCUUUUGCUUCUUCAAUAUAUUUAUUUUCAAACAAGUAACUCCAAUGAUUUCUAUCUCGUGAUGAUGGUUACCUCUGCUCCGGAGCCAAGAUUAUUUCCAGUUUAUAAUCUAUUGUUCUAUUGAAUCUAAUCUCUGUCCAAAAUACUAUUCUAUUGAAACUCACACCCAACACCGCAAGCAAGAAACUACAAACUACAUACGGAGGUUACAAAACUAGUCUCUACUGUAAAACUCUUUAUUUCACAACUCAGGAGAAAAAACGAAACAUAAAAGUCAAUCAAUCAGUAGAAGCUUCGUCUUUGCGUAGCUCAGGUUGGCCAAGAGGUUUCAGGGAGGUGGUGUGGCGGAGAGGAGGAAGAGGAGGGGGACCUAGGCGACCCCUCAACAGCGUAGCGUAAUGUAAAGAAUAACUAAGAGGAUGGCGGUGGUAUGCAGCGUGUGGCAUGGAAUUCAAAAGGAGAUCAAAGGAAGGAUGAAAUGCGUGUUUGGAAAGUUGGGAAGAAUGGAGAGAAAACGUUGCUAAUAAGUGGUUAAAGAGGAUUAUGGUGGUACGCAGUGUAAGGCAAGAAAGGGAUGGAAAUUAAAAGGUAUUAUAGGCAUGUUUGUAUGGAAGGGAAGGAUGGAAAGAGAAGAUGUAAAAUAAUGCUCGUGUGGAAAGAAAGGAAGAAUGGAAAGAAAUGGAAAUAUAGAUUAUGGUUUGUAGUGUGAGGCAAGAAAUGGAGAGAAAAAAAUAUAUAAAUGAUUUCUUGUGUGGAGAGAAAUAAGAAGAAUGGAGAGAGGAGGUAUAAAGGAAUUCGUGUAUGGAGGGAAAAAAAAAGGACAAAUGGAGACAGAUCGAAAUAUAGGAGGAAGGAAAAUAAAGGUGGAGAGUUGGAAAUAACGUAAGGAAGGAAAAGAAAGAAAUGUGACGUGUGGAAUUGAUGGACGAUAGAGAAAGGGGAGAAAGAAGGACAUGUAUGAAGGGAAAGGAAAAUUUGGAAACACAACCAAGAGAGCGAGGGAAAAAGAUGUCGUUAUAGCUAUCCCGAAAAUAUCACUACCUAGCCUGUGUUGGAAGCUGCGUUAUAGCGUUGGUGAGCACACCGUACGACGAGCCAUGCUUAAAAGUGUAAAAAACAGCUACGUAGCGAAGCCGAGCGUGUGUUACUAGGCUGUGACGGGAGGAUUCGUGAGCAGUGUUGCCAGAUCUCGACGAAGACUCAUUACCAAAUCCAUUUUAUUCAUUACAUAUCAGAAUUUUAGAAAGUUUGUUCAUUUGUACUUGUUUCUGACUAACUUUAGAAUAAGAUGCACGUAGUUUAUUUUCAAGAGUGUAGUGUAAGAAUUCGUAUAAAAACAGUCCAUUCAGAUCUAGUAAUAGAUUUUUCAUGGUCAGGUCUGCUCCAAAAUAGGAAUGUAGAAACUUGUACUUUAUUUUCACGAGUGUGCAGUGUAUGGAGUGAUUUAAAAGUAGUCAGUUCAAGUCCAGUACCAGAUAUUUCAUGAUCAUAUCUGAACCAGUUUAUGAAUGGAAACUUGUACUUUAUUUUCAUGAGCGUAUAGUUUAAGAAAUGAUCUAAAGUUGUCAGUUCAAAUCCAGCACCAAAAGUUUUCAUAUUCAGAUCUCGUCCAAUUUGGUAGUGAGAAGUGUCAGAUGGCAACGCUGCGUUAGGGGUGUGGGUAGGCGUGACUAUGGGGCCGCAUUUCCGUGUGCUGUCGCGGCGCUCUGGCGGGGCACGGCCUAACUAGAGACACCCAGAGCCACAGAACAGGAGAGUGGCCUUCAUCUUCACUGGCGCCAUGUUGUUACCAAAAGAGCGCCGUUGCCAGAUUAUCGUACUCAGAGCCGCGUAUUUACCGGUUUCUGGCCCAUAAAUGUUGCCAAGAAGCACCAAUAAUUAACCAUUUAAACGAUAACCAUAUAUGAAGGCAGUUAUUUGGGUGAUGAAAGCAGUUUUGGGGUCGGAAAUAGGCAAACAUAAGAGGCAGAGUACGACAAUUUGGCAUCGUUGCAAAAGAGCGUGCGAAUUUCAAAUUGAUGUUGACACAAGUGUUUUUGUUCUAGGUACUUCGAGAUCUUAUGUAACGCCACUGAAUUCCACUAUACCAGGCAUCUACACGACUUCUGCGUGUCACGAAAUAACAAGAAAUUAAUCCAGAUCCGGAAAGGAUUUUGCCGGCGCCGUGGAUCGAACCCGCGACCGGCUAGAUGGGAAAAUUACUCCUUAAUCAGUCGGCCAAAGAGGUACCACCCCCUCGCUGAGUGAGUUCGGGAGGCUUUCCACAUCAGGCGGGUCAGGCACUACACUUAACCAUACCUAAAGCACAAGAAGAGUUUUGUAUCAGCAUGAGUUUGAAUUUCGAUCGGUUCUUUUAGUAAUAACAUGAUGCCUGCGAUCAAAUUGGCCAAACUGUACAAUUCUAAGGCUCUGGAGAUACCGUCGGGACCCAUCCUGAGCCGGGCCUUCUGUGACGCUGUAUUCAUCACGGUUUUGUUCGUGGGUAAGAAAAAUAUCAACAAGCCGAUAAUUGUCAUGAACGCAUACACAGUCCUCUGGUUUCAAAGUUUUUUUAUGUACAACUAAAUUUUUACGGCAGAAGAACAUGUAUACGCUGUUUCAACAAGGAUAUGUUCACGUGUUUGGUAGACGCAUCAUAUAAACUUUAAACAUUCUCAACAUUAACAAUAUGUAACAAUUCGGACUCACCUAAUUAGGACUCGGUUGAAUUUUUUUUUUGUAUUGGUUUGUUUGGUUUCAAUAGUAAUUUAAAAGUGUAAUUAUAAAGCCUUCAAAUAAGAGAUACGUAGAAAAAUAUAAACGGCAUCCAUAAUCCAAUAUUUUUUUCGCAACGAUUUUUUUUCUGAGCGGGAGGAGAAGCAGCGAAGAAGACUUAAGACAGACACAUUAGACUAGGCACAAUAAUCGUUCCUUAAUCAACGAAAGAAAGUUCCACGGAUUUUAAACGAGGAAAAGUAUUGUGGUUAGGUUAGACCCGCUACCUAACCUAACCUAACGCAUCACAGGUCUGGUCGGCACCUCAACAGCGGGCAAGCAAGCAGGUGGUGGACGAGGAGGAGGAGGAGGACGUGGGUAACAAUUGGCCAGUGCCACCUUUCUUGUAGUAAACUUAAACCAGGGUUCUUCAGUACUUGGUGGUGGUGGUAUGUUCACUUUGACUCCUCCUUGUUACAAUUAGACAGCCAAAUAGAUAGUUAAACACCAGACAGCAUGAGGUACACCAGCUUUCAGUACUGUCUUGCAUAUGGGUCGUGAGUGAUACUGAAAAUGCGGGUACAAGUGGAUCGCUGUAAGAAAAGUUUCUAGAAUGCUGACUAAAUCGAUACUCCAGAUUACUUUCCUAUACCGCCAAGGAGCUGUUAGGCAUCUAGUACUUUCCGUAGUGCUCGUGAUGUCACUCUACUGUCACUAUUUGCUGGGUGGCUACCGCUAGGAGUAACUGGGAGGGCUAGAGACGCCGCCGCGCUGCUCUGAGAUAUGGUACGUUCGUAAAUUCGGACACAACCUGACAAUCAAUACUUAUACCAGAAAAUUGAUCUGAGGGAUAUAUAAGAACUUUUUUCAAAAUAAAGAUUGAUGAACAUUCUUCAUUAUGGCAAAAGUUAGUUAAAAUUCUUCAGCUCAAUUUGCUCUGGUUUCAUUUCUGUCAGGCGAAGGAACGGCCGAAAAUGCUCUACUAUCCCUCAACUUUCUACUCGAACACGACCUCCUAAUCUAGAGGCUUGGUUACUGGGGUUCCUUGUGGGCCGCGGCGAGACUAUGGAGAAGCAAUGGCAUGAAGUUUGCUGGUAUAACGCUGAGGGUAGGACAGAUAUAGGCUAUAGGGCAUGUAAGGGCAGCGCAUUGCCUUUGGGGAAGAAAUGAUCGAAGCUCUGCCUGCAUGACGCGAAGGGCAGGACAUACAGAGGGUAGAGCCUUGCGAGGGUAGGCGACAUCCACCUUUCCUGAUCUAAAGAUGGACGCGGAAAGAGAAGAUAAAUAUGUAUCGUCUGUAUCUUGCAUAAAGGUGGGUAGCUCGGGACUCAUAUUCCCGAAGUCUGUACGGGUAUGUGCCGCCUAAUCUUGAACAGGGCAGGAUAGAUUAGAUUAGGUUAGGUUAAGUAAGGUUUGGUUGGAAAUACAUCACGUAAUUUUGAGUGGGAAUCACAAUGAGAGUAUUUUCCAGAACGGCCCGUGAUUAGUUUCGAAUGUGUGGAUAGGUUGGGAUAGGCAGGAUAGGUUAAGUUAUGUUAUGUUAGGUUAGGUUUCCGUGGUUAGUUUCGAAUGUGUGGAUAGGUUGGGAUAGGCAGGAUAGGUUAAGUUAUGUUAUGUUAGGUUAGGUUAGGUUCCCGUGGUUAGUUUCGAAUGUGUGGAUAGGUUGGGAUAGGCAGGAUAGGUUAAGUUAUGUUAGGUUAUGUUAGGUUAGGUUCCCGUGAUUAGUUUCGAAUGUGUGGAUAGGUUGGGAUAGGCAGGAUAGGUUAAGUUAUGUUAGGUUAGGUUAGGUUAGGUUCCCGUGAUUAGUUUCGAAUGUGUGGAUAGGUUGGGAUAGGCAGGAUAGGUUAAGUUAUGUUAGGUUAGGUUGGGUUCCCGUGGUUAGUUUCGAAGUUACAGCCGAGCGUCUUCACUCAAGGACCACAUACCCGGAGAGACUUCGGGAAUAUGCGCGCGGGACAAGGCCUUCUAUAUAGACAGCCUCUCCUUUGGUUUGGUAGGCACAGACUUAGUAUUGCCUUACAUUUUUAUUAUUUUUAAGGUUGAUAUAUUCUUUUGUGUGGUGAUUCUAAGUGACCUAAUUCCUCUCAUUAGCUAUAGUCUUUCCUGGUGAUCUUGGUCGCAAGGUUAAUGGAAUCUUUUGUGUGUUGAUCAUAUAAGACCAUUUUCGAAUAAGACUGAUGACCUUUUUUUAGUCCAUAAUUUUCUUUGCAUGACUAGUUUGCGGCCAUUGCAUUGGUUUUUGUUCAUCUCUUAAGGGGCUAUUACACUGGGCAAAUCUUCAGUCAAACCACGAUUUCCGCUGGCGUGGUUCUCAUAUUUCCGUGGUUUUCUGACGUGUCCACGAUCUUCCAAAGCUACGGUAGAUUUCCCCGAAGGACGACGGUAUUACUCACCAUCAUCAUCAGCAGCAAUAACAAGAAACAAAUGAGAAUUACGCUAGCGGAAAUCGUGGUUUGACUGAAGAUCCGCGGAAAAUUUGCCCAGUGUAUUAGCCCCUUUGGUCUGUCUCCGGCACCGUUAAAGAGUGACAUGGUAACGCCUGUGGAUAAUUGAGAUCUACUGUUACUACUUUGGUCACCUAACCCCCAUUCUGCAGUUACUAAUUUGUAUUCGUGGUGGCAGCGGCGACCCGGAAUUUACUAUUACUGCUUUUUUUGUUUGUUUGUAAAGCGAAUACGACCCAUUGUGUGUAGAUUCUAACCCGUCUUCCCAUCCUGCAGUGGCCAUGUGUUGUUGUGUUGUCUGUGGUGGCCGCGGCGGCGUCUUGGAGGAAGGAAGGGAAGGAGGGAAAGCGGCGGAGGGCUAACGUGAGGGCGGGAGACACGGCGGGUUCCUCGCUGACACGGUACUUUGCCCCUAACCACCCUGAUGAUUGCUGCUGCUACUGCUGCUGCUGCUACUACUGGGCUCACCACCUGCAAAGAGAGGAGGAAGAAUCAGUUUGGGAAGUCUGCCAGUGCGAGAUAUUCAAGAAAACUACUCAGUUACCAACCCACACGCCUUGGCCACGCCCCCUCCACCCUCAUCGUCUGCAGCCUGCCCUUCAGUUGCUCGCCCAGACAUUUCACAAACACACCGAGUUUUCUCCUGUUUAAACUAUUAUACUGUUGAACAUGGCCCACGUCAGACACAAGGAAGGG